rnacentral:misc_RNA from 1 species
UACGAAGGGGGCUAGCGUUGUUCGGAAUCACUGGGCGUAAAGCGUGCGUAGGUUGUUUGAGAAGUCAGAUGUGAAAUCCUGGGGCUUAACCCUAGAAUUGCAUUUGAAACUUUCAGACUAGAGACCGGUAGGGGAUAGUGGAAUUCCUAGUGUAGAGGUGAAAUUCGUAGAUAUUAGGAGGAACACCUGUGGCGAAGGCGGCUAUCUGGACCGGUACUGACACUAAAGCACGAAAGCGUGGGGAGCAAACAGG